GACGAGGGGUCCUAGCGUUGUUCGGAAUCACUGGGCGUAAAGCGUAUGUAGGCGGCUCUCUAAGUCGGUCGUGAAAUCCCAUGGCUUACCAUGGAAUUGCGUUCGAAACUGGAGAGCUUGAGUGUGGGAGAGAUUGGUAGAAUACCUGGUGUAGUGGUGAAAUACGUAGAUAUCAGGUGGAAUACCGGUGGCGAAGGCGGCCAAUUGGCCCAACACUGACGCUGAGAUACGAAAGCGUGGGGAGCAAACAGG
rnacentral:rRNA from 1 species